rnacentral:lncRNA from 7 species
GAAGCUUGCAACCUGAAUGCUUCUUGAGUUGCAGGCUCUGACUCCUCAGCGGACACAAGGGGUGAGCCCAGCUCCCUGCAGCAGCCCCAUGCAGGGUGCUGGGAGACAAGUGGCCACCAAAUGGCUCUUGAAGAGCACCUGGAGCUCAAAGAGGUGGGAGAUCACCUGUGCUUGCUCUUUGGUGUGUGGAUGAGCUUCAGACGUAGCAGGGCUGGUCCUCUGUGUGCAUGAAAUGUGAAGUGUGCCUGCAGUCCAACCACCUCGUUCUGAGCCCCCGCACCAAGUGCAGAUGGAUUGGUUCUUUGGCCAUUCACCUUACCUCCAAGAUUGGCUUGCUGCAGAAACAUUCGGCAUUUCCAUAGCUUGUCAAGUCACAUAGGAACGCGGCUUCUGUCAUCUUGCUACAACCUUGGUGUUACACAACGUAUCAGCUGAAGUCUUAGAAGUUUUCCAGACCUUUUAAUCUUCACUUCUCGCUUUCUAUUGAUCCCUUCAAAUAGAUGUCAUUCCACCCACAGACAUUUUGCCCUAUGGGGAUCUAAAGCAAGCUGGGUUGAGUAAAGACCCAUUUCAUAGACUGGGGAAAACAUAAGAAAGAUUAAGGUCUAACUAUAAGCCUCUAUUUAGGAAGGCAGUAAAGCUUGCACUUAAUCCAUUCCUGUUGUAAUAACUGGUGUUACGAGAGCUAUAGAAACCAAAGCCUUAUUUGUACUAGAUGUUGUACAAAUGUAUAAUGAAGAGGAAGUGUUAUAUGUCCUGAAAGACUGCCUAGAAAUGUAAAAAUAAAGUCAACAGGGAGAGCCAAGCAACAGACAGGCGUAUGGGAAACAUGACAAACCUGCUAUCUACAGAGGAAUUCACUGGUCGAAACAAAUUACCUGAUGAAUGGUGCUGUGAUUUCUGUGGGUAUUGUGGCAUAUCCUCAACCCAGAGCACAUGUCUAAGUCUAAUUGAAGAAAUUAAUGCUUAGCAUGUGCUUCAGUGCUUUGCUGAAUCAGAUUCAUAUAGUACUGCCACCAGCCAUGUUAACACUGGAUGGAGAUGAGCUAAUGUGUCUGGUAUCAGUGAAAUUCCUUAGUGUGUCCCAAAUGGAGUACGUUGUGUCCAGCCAGAAGAACUGAAGCCCCUUUCUGUACUGUGAUUUUCAACUCUGAUUAAACCAUUUCAACAUCCAUUCCUGAGCCCACUGAUGUAAUUGAUUCCUUCCAAAGAAAACACUGCCAGGAAAUGGGAGCCCUCACAUUUGGAUCCAGUGUUUGCUGUAAAUAUCCUGACUGACGUCUUUUGUGUGGUAGCUUGAGAAGAAGCUUGUUUUGUCACCCUUUUCAACUGCACUAUUGUCCAAGUCUGGAAAGAAACCGGGAUCUCAUCUGCGGAGGAAAAAAAGAUCCAUCUUAGAAAAAGUGAUAAAAUACAGUGAGGGCAAAAGCAGCCUGGAAAUGAGUUUGCAGUGAGAAAGUACGUUUCCUGGAGGUCUUGUCAAAAUAAUCUUUAUCAACAAAGGACUAUUAAGUGCUAUGAGAUUUGAGCUUUUCUUCACUGUUACUGUAGGUUCAGUGAGUCAAUGUUCAUUUCCCAAAAGUUAUGCUCUCCCUGACCUACGGUUGCAGCAUGACCCUCUGCCCCUUGCUUCAAACAAAUUCAGCAGCUUUGCAGCACUCUGGAAGCAGCCAGCUCACCUAACUCCGAGGUAUUUCCCAGAAGCAGCAAAAUUCAAGGGGAGUUUUGCAACUAACCUGAGUGUUUGUGCUAGGCGCUCUACCAUAGCCACAGCACAGACUGAAGAGCCCUUCUGCUGGAAUCAACAAGCCCCUUGUCUCUGUAAGUACUGCAGAUGUGCAAAGCCCCUUCAUGAAUUAAGAAGCAAAGAUGC